AUGUAUCUAAACGGUUGCGCGUUCAGCGCAAUGUUGAAACUUCGGGUACUUUGCUGCCUUGUCAUUUGCCCUUGCAGACAAGUGUGAACUAAUUCAAGC
rnacentral:lncRNA from 1 species